rnacentral:rRNA from 1 species
GUGGGUAGUUUGACUGGGGCGGUCUCCUCCUAAAGAGUAACGGAGGAGCACGAAGGUUGGCUAAUCCUGGUCGGACAUCAGGAGGUUAGUGCAAUGGCAUAAGCCAGCUUGACUGCGAGCGUGACGGCGCGAGCAGGUGCGAAAGCAGGUCAUAGUGAUCCGGUGGUUCUGAAUGGAAGGGCCAUCGCUCAACGGAUAAAAGGUACUCCGGGGAUAACAGGCUGAUACCGCCCAAGAGUUCAUAUCGACGGCGGUGUUUGGCACCUCGAUGUCGGCUCAUCACAUCCUGGGGCUGAAGUAGGUCCCAAGGGUAUGGCUGUUCGCCAUUUAAAGUGGUACGCGAGCUGGGUUUAGAACGUCGUGAGACAGUUCGGUCCCUAUCUGCCGUGGGCGCUGGAGAACUGAGGGGGGCUGCUCCUAGUACGAGAGGACCGGAGUGGACGCAUCACUGGUGUUCGGGUUGUCAUGCCAAUGGCACUGCCCGGUAGCUAAAUGCGGAAGAGAUAAGUGCUGAAAGCAUCUAAGCACGAAACUUGCCCCGAGAUGAGUUCUCCCUGAGACUUUAGGUCUCCUGAAGGAACGUUG